CUCAUCUCAUUAUCCAUUCGGGAUAACUCUUGGUUGUUGCUAAACAAGAGACAGAUGAAAAAUAUCAGUUGAGUUCAAUAGGGCAACGCAUAUUGAUGGCACUAACUGUUACAGUAAACUAGUAUGCUUCUAAUUUGCAAGCAGUUCCCAGAACACAAGGAAGAGUAGCAACCAAAAAAACCACACCAACCUUAAGCACCAAUGUGGAACUUGGAAGAAGAGGACUUGUCUUAUCCACGAGGUUGGAGAGUUAUUACUAGCGCAACUACUAGGAUUACUUUGAAUUGAUGGGAGAGGAAGGGAAGCUUUCAGAUACAGAAAAGGGUAUCCUUGAUUGGCUUCAAAAAAACAAGUGAAAGGUUUUCUUAAUUGUUUUACUUUUCAGUCGGUGCUCAGAUGACAUUGAAUUUGCUUCUGUACACUGUAGCUUUACCUAUGGAAUUGUACAUUAGAGAUGUACAUAGGCACCCUGUAGAUUGUGAUUUCCUUUGUCCUUGAAAUCCUCCAAUUACAAGCAUUUCAAGUGAUUGAGUUAAUAAAUUUAAUUUGACAUUGGUUGGCAUCACAUUCUUCAAUAGUAUAUUGUACCACAAUAACUAUCUUUCUCUUUUUGACAUUGAUUGGCAUCA